UACGUAGGGAGCAAGCGUUGUCCGGAAUCAUUGGGCGUAAAGCGCGCGUAGGUGGCCUCAUAAGUCCGCUGUGAAAGUCCAAGGCUCAACCUUGGAAAGCCGGUGGAUACUGUGAGGCUAGAGUACGGAAGAGGCGAGUGGAAUUCCUGGUGUAGCGGUGGAAUGCGCAGAUAUCAGGAGGAACACCAAUAGCGAAGGCAGCUCGCUGGGACGUUACUGACACUAAGGCGCGAAAGCGUCGGGAGCGAACAGG
rnacentral:rRNA from 1 species